AACGGGUAAAAUUAUCGUUUCGGCCGUGCGCCUACUUUCCGAAGGUCAUAAAAGUUCAAAAUAAAUAAAAAACCAUUGGAACAAGAUAAUUUCAACCUACCCUAACCUAUUUGAGUAAUCAGUUUGUCCAUGUGGUAGUAAACUAAUAAGUAACGUUUAUUUUUAAUACAAAGUUGUUAUUUGACCCGGAUUCUGGGCCAAAUAACCGUCGACUAUUUGACCGGGACCUGCGGGGAUCGUAUGGGAUUUUAGUGGGAUUGUAGUCGGGAUGGUUGGGGACAUUAAACAAGUCAUUACAUUAUGGUAAUAUUUAAUUGUAUAAUUUCUGUGGGCAAAAGGAUUUAGUUUUGUUUUAGAUCUCGAUCAAAUAACCAGUGGUUAUUGUGCCGAGUACUGGUCAAAUAACCCCUGCUUCAAGGACCAACAACACAUCUCAGUAUGACAAGUUCAGACUCGACCGUACAGACCCGUCCGGUCUCGUAUACGACGCCGUUAACGGCAACCGGAGAAACGCCGCCGACUCGUAGGAGGCGAGACCGACGUCGUCACUUCACGUCGUGUCGCCGGGCGUACAAGCCGAGUGUAUUAGAGGACUUGUAUUUAAGUGCACUUGUACAGUAAUCCUAUAAAAGUGGUCAUUUAUGUAAAUGUUUGUGUAUAAAGUCACGUCCCAUUGGUGUCGGCGGUACGGGACCUCUCCACGUUUUCCAUCCCAUAGAAAAUUUUGAAUGUGUGUUUAUUUAGUUUUUCUCUAAAGUACAGUACAGUUUAUUAAUAACUUGGAGGUUCGUUUUCAAAACAUAAUGUCAUUGUUUAUUAAUUACGAUUCUUUACAAAUGUUGUACUACUUUUUAUACCUUUUUCUGCUUGUAUGUUUCAAUUCAGUUAAUGAAACUUUUAUUUGCAUAGUUUUGAAGAAGACUGCAGUACUUGGUACUCAGUUUAAAUGUUUGCAUAUCAACAGUGCAGUACUUUAUCUUAAGUAAUAUUUUCAGGUACUUUCUCCAUCACUGCCUAAAGUGGACCUGAACAUUUGGACCUGAUGUGAACUAGAAUGAAGUUGGCUGGAUAUAAAGUUAACUGGACCUGCAGUGAAGUGGACCUGAAGUAGUCUGUGACGAGCGAGAGACGCGGGCGGAGACGGAAGGCGCGGUCGGCGUCCGAGAGCCCGUCGGAGUCGCUGCGGACGAAGACGCCGUUCGGAGCGCCGGGAAGACGCCGGGGAACACGGGAAGAAGACGCCCGCCGACGAGGGAAGACGCUCGUCGACGCAGAAGAAGACGCUCGUCGACGCAGAAGAAGACGCUCGUCGACGGAGCGGCGCGACGUACAUUUUGUGCCGGCGCAGCGGGAUUCCCGUAAACAGGAUUUUAAUUUGUUUAGGCGUAAAAGUGAUGCACGUCUUGUAAUGAUUUUGGAAUAAUGUAUAUCAUUUGUGGACUUUGAUUAAUUUAUAAUGUUUGUGAACUUUGAAUAGUCACGAUGUUUUGUGGACUCGGAAUACCGUAUAUCGCGUGUGGACUCGAAAUAUUUUUCAUCCCGUGUGGACUUUGAAUAUUUUGUAAUGUAUGUGGAUAUUGAAUAGUUGUGAUGUUUUGUUGACUUGAUAUAUUUUUCAUCCUUUGUGGAGUUAGAAUAAUGUAUAUCUUUUGUGGACUUUGAUUAAUUUAUCAUGUUUGUGGAGUUUGAAUAGCUUUGAUGUUUUGUGGACUUUGAAUAGUUGUGAUGUUUUGUCGAGUUCAAAUAUUUUUCAUCCUUUGUGGACUUAGAAUAAUGUAUAUCUUUUGUGGACUUUGAUUAAUUUAUCAUGUUUGUGGACUUUGAAUAGCUUUGAUGUUUUGUGGACUUUGAAUAGUUGUGAUGUUUUGUGGAGUUUGAAUAGUUGUGAUGUUUUGUGGACUUUAAAUAAUUUGUGUCCUGUGUGGACUUUGAAUAUUUUUUAAUAUAUGUGGAUUUUGAAUAGUUCUGAUGUGUUGUGGACUUGGACUAAUUUUCAAUGUAUGUGGACUUAGAAUAAUGUAUAUUCUUUGUGGACUUUGAUUAAUUUAUUAUGUUUGUUGACUUUGAAUAGUUGUGAUGUUUUGUGGACAUGGAAUAAUGUAUAUCCUUUGUGGACUUUGAAUAGUUGUGAUGUUUUGUGGACUUUGAAUAGUUCUGAUAUUUUGUGGACUUUUAAUUGUUUUAUGUUUUGUGGUCUUAGAAUAAUGUAUAUCGUUUGAUUAAUUUAUUUUGUUUGUGGAAUUUGAAUAGUUCUGAUAUUUUGUGGACUUUGAAUAGUUUUCUGUUUUGUGGUCUUAGAAUAAUGUAUAUCGUUUGUGGACUUUGAUUAAUUUAUCAUGUUUGUGGACUUUGAAAAGUUUUGAUGUUUUGUGGAUUUUGAAUAGUUGUGAUGUUUUGUGGACUUUGAAUAGUUGUGAUGUUUUGUGGACUUGGAAUAAUGUAUAUUCUUUGGUGACUUUGAUUAAUUUCUAAUGUUUGUGGACUUUGAAUAGUUCUGAUAUUUUGUGGACUUUUAAUUGUUUUAUGGUUUUAGAAUAAUGUAUAUCGUUUGAUUAAUUUAUAAUGUUUGUGGACUUUGAUUAAUUUAUAAUGUUUGUGGACUUGGACUAAUGUAUAUCGUUUGAUUAAUUUAUAAUGUGUGUGGACUUUGAAUAGUUGUUACGUUUUGUGGACUUGAAAUAAUUUCCGUCUCGUGUGGACUUUGAAUGUUUUUUAAUCUGUGGACUUUGAAUAGUUGUGAUGUUUUGUUGACUUCAAAUAUUGUUCAUCCUCUGUGGACUUAGAAUAACGUAUAUCUCUCGUGGACGUUGAUUAAUUUAUCGUGUUUGUGGACUUUGAAUAGUUCUGAUGUUUUGUGGACUUGGCAUAAUGUAUAUCCUUUGUGGAUUUUGAAUAUUUUUUAAUGUAUGUGGAUUUUGAAUAGUUGUGAUGUUUUGUGGACUUGGCCUAAUUUUCAAUGUAUGUGGACUUAGAAUAAUGUAUAUUUUUUGUGGACUUUGAUUAAUUUAUGAUGUUUGUGGACUUUGAAUAGUUUUGAGGUUUUGUGGACUUUUAAUAGUUUUAUGUUUUGUGGUCUGAGAAUAAUGUAUAUCGUUUGUGGACUUUGAAUAUGUUUUAAUGUAUGUGGACUUUGAAUAGUUCUGAUGUUUUGUGGACUUCAAAUAAUUUUUGUCCCGUGUGGACUUUGAAUCUUUUUGUGGAUUUAGAAUAAUGUAUAUCCUCUGUGGUCUUUGAAUAGUUGUGACAUUUUGUGGACCGUGAAUAGUUUGAAAUAUUUUCCGUCCCGUGUGGACGUCGAAUACGUUUUGACGUAUGUGGAGUUUGAAUAGUUUUGACGUUUUGUCGAGUUAAAAUAUUUGUCGUCGUUUGUGGACUUUGAAUAUUUGUUAAUGUAUGUGGACUCGGCCUAGUUUUGACGAUUUGUGGACUCCGAAUAGUUCCGACGCUCCGCGGACCGAAAAUAUUUUCCGUCCCGUGUGGACUUUGAAUAUUUUUUAAUCUGUGGACUUUGAAUAGUUCUGAUGUUUUGUUGACUUCAAAUAUUUUUCAUCUUUUGUGGAUUUAGAAUAAGGUAUAUCUCUUGUGGACGUUGAUUAAUUUAUCGUGUUUGUGGACUUUGAAUAGUUGUAAUGUUUUGUGGACUUUGAAUAGUUGUGAUGUUUUGUGGACUUUGAAUAGUUGUGAUGUUUUGUGGAUUUGGAAUAAUGUAUAUCCUUUGGUGACUUUGAUUAAUUUAUAAUGUUUGUGGACUUGGACUAAUUUUCAAUGUAUGUGGACUUGGAAUAUUGUAUAUCCUUUGAUUAAUUUAUAAUGUGUGUGGACUUUGAAUAGUUGUGACGUUUUGUGGACUUCAAAUAAUUUCCGUCCCGUGUCGACUUUGAAUCUUUUUUAAUCUAUGUGGACUUGGAAUAGUUGUGAUGUUUUGUGGAUUUAGAAUAAUGUAUAUCCUUUGUGGUCUUUGAAUAGUUGUGAUGUUUUGUGGACGGAAAAUAUUUUUCAUCCCGUGUGGACUUUGAAUAGUUUUGAGGUUUUGUGGAUUUUGAAUAGUUGUGAUGUUUUGUGGACUUUGAAUAGUUGUGAUGUUUUGUGGACUUGGAAUAAUGUAUAUCCUUUGGUGAUUUUGAUUAAUUUCUAAUGUUUGUGGACUUUGAAUAGUUCUGAUAUUUUGUGGAGUUUUCAUUGUUUUAUGGUUUUAGAAUAAUGUAUAUCGUUUGAUUAAUUUAUAAUGUUUGUGGACUUGGAAUAGUUGUGAUGUUUUGUGGACUUGGACUAAUUUUCAAUGUAUGUGGACUGAGAAUAAUGUAUAUUCUUUGUGGACUUUGAUUAAUUGAUCAUGUUUGUGGACUUGUAAAAAUUUAUGUCCUUUGUUUAUUUAGAAUAAUUUAUAAUGUUUUUGUACUUGGAAUAAUUUAUAUCGUUUGUGGACUUGAAGUUUUAUAAGUCCAUAAAGGAUGAACAAUAUUCUAAGUCCACAAAGGAUAUAAAUUAUUGUAAGUACAGAAAGGACAUAAAGUGUGACAAGUCCACAAAGGAUGAAGAAUAUUCUAUGUUUUUUGUGUACUUAGAAUAAUGUAUAAUGUUUGUGUACUUGGAAUAAUUUAUAUCCUUUGUGGACUUGGAAUAAUUUAUAAUGUUUGCGUACUUGGAAUAAUUGUGUAUCGUUUGUGGACUUGAAGUUUUAGAAGUCCACAAAGGAUGAACAAUAUUCUAAGUCCACAAAGGAUAUAAAUUAUUCUAAGUACACAAAGGACAUGGAAUAUUCUUCAUCGUUUGUGGACUUGUCAAACUUUAUGUCCUUUGUGGACUUAGAAUAAUUUAUAAUGUUUGUGUAUUUGGUAUAAUUUAUAUCUUUUGUAGACUUAAAGUUUUAUAAGUUGACAAAGGAUAAACAAUAUUCCAAAUCCACAAAGGAUAUAAAUUAUUCCAAGUCCACAAAGGACAUAGAGUAUUCUUCAUCCUUUGUGUACUUAGAAUAAUUUAUAUACUUUGUGGACUUGGAAUAUUGUUUAUUGUUUGUGGACUUGUAAUAAUGUAUUAUGUUUGUGGAGUUGUCAAACUUGAUAUCCUUUGUGUACUUAGAAUAAUUUAUAAUGUUUGUGUAUUUGGAAUAAUUUCUAGUAUUUGUGGACUUGAAGUUUUAUAAGUCCACAAAGGAUAAACAAUAUUCAAAGUCCACAAAGGAUAUAAAUUAUUCUAAGUACACAAAGGACAUGGAAUAUUCUUCAUCGUUUGUGGACUUGUCAAACUUUAUGUCCUUUGUGGACUUAGAAUAAUUUAUAAUGUUUGUGUAUUUGGUAUAAUUUAUAUCUUUUGUAGACUUAAAGUUUUAUAAGUUGACAAAGGAUAAACAAUAUUCAAAGUCCACAAAGGAUAGAAAUUAUUGUAAGUACACAAAGGACAUAGAAUAUUGUUCAUCUUUUGUGGACUUGUCAAACUUUAUAUCCUUUGUGUACUUAGAAUAAUUUGUAUCCUUUGUGGACUUGGAAUAUUGUUCAUUGUUUGUGGAGUUGUAAUAAUGUAUUAUGUUUGUGGAGUUGUCAAACUUUAUAUCCUUUGUGUAUUUAGAAUAAUUUAUAUCUCUUGUGGACUUGGAAUAAUUUAAAUCCUUUGUGGACUUGAAGUUUUAUAAGUUGACAAAGGAUAAACAAUAUUUCAAGUCCACAAAGGAUGAAGAAUACUCUAUGUUCUUUGUGUACUUAGAAUAAUUUGUAUCUUUUGUGGAC